GGGCCUUUGUCUCUCGCUCCCACCAGAGCUUGGAAUCCGUCUCUGCUCUUCUGCAUUCUCCACCUCGGGAGCCCCUGGGGACUCUGUGACGGCCUCUGUUGCCCUGUGAUCUGCAGGUCCGGAGAGACGCACAGCUAAGAUGUCAGGACAUCCUGGAAGCUGGGAAAGGAUCUCUUCCCAGGGUGAAAGGGGACUGAGGGCUUGGAAGAAAGAAGUUCUGAAAACAGACUCCCUGCCCUCAACCUGCUACCACCAAUGAUUUCCGCCUACUAAUGAACAUACCCACUAGGAAUGGGUGUGGCCAGAAUCUUCACAAAACAAGAAGACUUGAUCUGAGGAAUUACUCUAUAGUGGCUUUACCUCUAAAAUUUCUCACCAAAGAAUUACACAAGUGCCUAGAGGACUCCUGGAUUAUCCCUACCACAAACCCUGAACCUGAAGCAGCAACCUGGUCUCUCUAUCACCCUGGGCUUGUGGACUACCAAUCAUAAUCUCAUCCACCUGCAUGGACACAGGAAUAUGUCAGAACAUAACCCUGCCUGAAUCAGUAUCUGUAGCAUAAACCAGUCUUUCCAGCUACCAUGCACUGUCCCCCACUCACGGGUCCUUGAUAGCACCUUUCCCUCUUCUGUCUUUUGCUUUUCUACAAACCCUUUCUGAUGUGCACAGUGUGCCUCAGGUGCCUGAAUCCAGCACCUACUGGGAGUCAGAUGUCCAUGAGUUCAAGAUUAUAGCCCUAGACCUGGCUGUCAUAAGAACAGACAAAAAUUAGAAAUACAGUCUUCAUCCUUGAAAAUAAAAGAUUUUUCUCUUUCCUUU
rnacentral:lncRNA from 1 species